rnacentral:tRNA from 1 species
GAGGGGGUCGGUGGAAGGCUGGUUAAACCAUUUGGUUUUCGACCACAACGACCCGGGUUCGAUUCCCGCAUUGGACACUUUUUUCA